UACGUAGGGGGCAAGCGUUGUCCGGAUUUAUUGGGCGUAAAGAGCGUGUAGGCGGUUGGGUAGGUCCGUUGUGAAAACUCGAGGCUCAACCUCGAGACGCCGAUGGAAACCCCCCAGCUAGAGUCCGGAAGAGGAGAGUGGAAUUCCUGGUGUAGCGGUGAAAUGCGUAGAUAUCUGGAGGAACACCGGUGGCGAAGGCGGCGUUCUGGACUGCAACUGACACUGAUGAACGAAAGCCAGGGGAGCAAACGGG
rnacentral:rRNA from 1 species